CAGUAGCCGCGGGAAUACGAAGGUGGCUAGCGUUGUUCGGAAUUACUGGGCGUAAAGGGCGCGUAGGCGGCCAUUCAAGUUAGAUGUGAAAGCCCUGGGCUCAACCUAGGAAUUGCAUUUGAUACUGUUUGGCUUGAGUUCGGGAGAGGUGAGUGGAAUUCCCAGUGUAGAGGUGAAAUUCGUAGAUAUUGGGAAGAACACCAGUGGCGAAGGCGGCUCACUGGACCGACACUGACGCUGAGGCGCGAAAGCGUGGGGAGCAAACAGGAUUAGAUACCCCAGUAGUCCCUGUCUCUUAUAC
rnacentral:rRNA from 1 species